rnacentral:rRNA from 1 species
UACGUAGGGUGCGAGCGUUGCCCGGAUUUACUGGGCGUAAAGGGCGCGUAGGCGGCGCUGUAAGUCACUUGUGAAAUCUCCGGGCUUAACUCGGAACGGUCAAGUGAUACUGCAGUGCUAGAGUGCAGAAAGGGCAAUCGGAAUUCUUGGUGUAGCGGUGAAAUGCGUAGAUAUCAAGAGGAACACCUGAGGCGAAGGCGGGUUGCUAGGCUGACACUGACGCUGACAGCGCGAAAGCCAGGGGAGCAAACGGG